rnacentral:rRNA from 1 species
UACGUAGGGGGCAAGCGUUGUUCGGAAUUACUGGCGUAAAGGGCGCGUAGGCGGCACGGCAAGUCAGGAGUGAAAGCCCUGGGCUCAACCCGGGAACUGACUUUUGAAACUGCCGAGCUAGAGUGCGGAAGGGGCAACUGGAAUUCCCAGUGUAGCGGUGAAAUGCGUAGAUAUUGGGAAGAACACCUGAGGCGAAGGCGGGUUGCUGGGCCGACACUGACGCUGAGGCGCGAAAGCCAGGGGAGCGAACGGG